CUUUAUUGUCGUACUUAGCAGAGCUGGUUCUAACCAGCCUUGUGGCAUUGCAUCCUUGGUUCAUGAAGAGUUCUGCAUUAACUCUUCAGUGGUCACUGUUGUAUCCAUUGUACUCAUCAUAGGACAAAAUUAGUUUCCUUCAGACUUUCGUGGAGCUAACUGAAGUGUUCUUCACCUUUGUCUCCAGAUCCAACAACCAAUUUGUACUUCUAAGACCAAUAUUGUGUCCUGUUUUUUUAUAGAAAGACAAAUGUGAAGAUUUAUGGGCUUGAUGCAGCAAUCUGACACACAAGCCACUGCAAGUAUACAGCUCAACAAGUAAUGCCAAGGAGUCCCAGUGAUGCACCAGGAUACCUACCACUGCAUAUGUCAUUACAGUUCUUGAAGAAAAAUGGACAACAAGCCUUGACUAAGCUGUGGUUAUACUUUUGUGCAACUUUCACAGGGUAGCUAUCCCCUGUGAGUAGACUGGAUUCACUGCCCCUGUAUCAGAGCAGGUGAGACCAAUCCAGACAAUUAAAAGGGGCUUGGCUACACCUGAGCCUAUAAAGGGCUAUUAGAGGCAGCAAGUGAUAGGGCUAGUUUGUAUCUGGGAAAGGGAAGUCAGGGUUGAGCUGUGAUGAGGGCCUAGAGUAAGGGCCAGGUGUUUAGGGAGGCAGCCCUAGUGCAACUGCUCCAGGAAGGGACUAGAGCUGAUAGGAACUGGGAAGGUUCCAGGAGCAGGAUGCAGGAGGCCCCUGGGAUGGGUGGCCCUGAAGCCUGAAAGCAAAGAAGAAACUCGCAUGGUGGGGCAGGACUACCACAGUGAUAGACAAGAGUGUCGACAUUGCUGUGAUGCACAUGAGAAGACUGGGGAGUUGAUGGCAAGGAGCACCACUUGACCGCCUCAGUAACAGCAGCAUCAAUUCCUUAAGUUCCUCAAGAUAUAUAGCUCUCCCUUGGCUGUGCAGCCCAAGAGCAAGAGGGGAGGAAGUAGAGGAAGAAGCAUAGGAACAUCAAACAUGCAAUCCUGAAUGAGAUCAGAAGUCCAUCUACUCAGUAUCCUGUCUCUGACCAUGGCAAGUAUCCUAUACUUCAGAGGAAGAUGGGAAGACACAGAUCAUGAAAAAGAAGAAAGCCGUUAAGUGAGAAUCCACCCAUUACUUGUCAGAGGCAGCUUUGUCCACACAUAAUGAAAACUAAGCUUACCCCUCAAACAAUCUAGUUAUUAAUAGGCC